rnacentral:rRNA from 1 species
GAUGAACGCUAGCGAUAGGCUUAACACAUGCCAGUCGAGGGGCAGCAUGGUCUUAGCUUGCUAAGACUGAUGGCGACCGGCGCACGGGUGCGUAACGCGUAUGCAACUUGCCUCACAGAGGGGGGUAACCCGUCGAAAGACGGACUAAUACCGCGUACACUCCAUCUUGGGCAUCCAAGGUAGAGGAAAUGAAAUUCGCUGUGAGAUAGGCAUGCGUCCCAUUAGCUAGUUGGUGAGGUAACGGCUCACCAAGGCGACGAUGGGUAGGGGAACUGAGAGGUUGAACCCCCACACUGGUACUGAGACACGGACCAGACUCCUACGGGAGGCAGCAGUGAGGAAUAUUGGUCAAUGGGCGAGAGCCUGAACCAGCCAAGUCGCGUGAAGGAUGACUGUCUUAUGGAUUGUAAACUUCUUUUAUACGGGAAUAACAAGAGUCACGUGUGACUCCCUGCAUGUACCGUAUGAAUAAGCAUCGGCUAACUCCGU